rnacentral:rRNA from 1 species
GGUUGACCUCGGAUCAGGUAGGAAUACCCGCUGAACUUAAGCAUAUCAAUAAGCGGAGGAAAAGAAACCAACAGGGAUUGCCUCAGUAACGGCGAGUGAAGCGGCAACAGCUCAAAUUUGAAAUCUGGCCUCACGGUCCGAGUUGUAAUUUGUAGAGGAUGCUUUUGGCGAGGUGCUUUCCGAGUUCCCUGGAACGGGACGCCAUAGAGGGUGAGAGCCCCGUACGGUAAGACCACCGAGCCUCUGUAAAGCUCCUUCGACGAGUCGAGUAGUUUGGGAAUGCUGCUCUAAAUGGGAGGUGUACGUCUUCUAAAGCUAAAUACCGGCCAGAGACCGAUAGCGCACAAGUAGAGUGAUCGAAAGAUGAAAAGCACUUUGAAAAGAGGGUUAAAAAGUACGUGAAAUUGUUGAAAGGGAAGCAUUCAUGACCAGACUUGGGCUUGGUUGAACAUCCGGCGUUCUCGCCGGUGCACUCUGCCAGUCCAGGCCAGCAUCAGUUUGCCCCGGGGGACAAAGGCGGUGGGAAUGUGGCUCUCUUCGGGGAGUGUUAUAGCCCGCCGUGUAAUGCCCUGGGGCGGACUGAGGAACGCGCUUCGGCACGGAUGCUGGCGUAAUGGUCAUCAAUGACCCGUCUUGAAACACGGACCAAGGAGUCGUCUUCGUAUGCGAGUGUUCGGGUGUCAAACCCCUACGCGUAAUGAAAGUGAACGUAGGUGAGAGCUUCGGCGCAUCACCGACCGAUCCUGAUGUUCUCGGAUGGAUUUGAGUAAGAGCAUACGGGGCCGGACCCGAAAGAAGGUGAACUAUGCCUGUAUAGGGUGAAGCCAGAGGAAACUCUGGUGGAGGCUCGCAGCGGUUCUGACGUGCAAAUCGAUCGUCAAAUAUGGGCAUGGGGGCGAAAGACUAAUCGAACCUUCUAGUAGCUGGUUUCCGCCGAAGUUUCCCUCAGGAUAGCAGUGUUGAACUCAGUUUUAUGAGGUAAAGCGAAUGAUUAGGGACCCGGGGGCGCUAUUUAGCCUUCAUCCAUUCUCAAACUUUAAAUAUGUAAGAAGCCCUUGUUGCUUAAUUGAACGUGGGCAUUCGAAUGUAUCAACACUAGUGGGCCAUUUUUGGUAAGCAGAACUGGCGAUGCGGGAUGAACCGAACGCGAGGUUAAGGUGCCAGAGUAGACGCUCAUCAGACACCACAAAAGGUGUUAGUACAUCUUGACAGCAGGACGGUGGCCAUGGAAGUCGGAAUCCGCUAAGGACUGUGUAACAACUCACCUGCCGAAUGUACUAGCCCUGAAAAUGGAUGGCGCUCAAGCGUCUCACCCAUACCUCGCCCUCAGGGUUGAAAUGAUGCCCUGAGGAGUAGGCGGACGUAGAGGUCAGUGACGAAGCCUAGGGCGUGAGCCCGGGUAGAACGGCCUCUAGUGCAGAUCUUGGUGGUAGUAGCAAA